CUCUUAUCCAGAGUAGGUGGAGGGACAGCCCCUGUGAAGCCCAGCAACCGUCACCAUUAACGGUGAAAAGGUGCUAACCUGAUGCAAGGUGAGAUAGCCUUGAACGAUAAGAG
rnacentral:ncRNA from 2 species